rnacentral:tRNA from 2 species
GGGCGCUUAGCUCAGCGGGAGAGCACUGCCUUCACACGGCAGGGGUCGCUGGUUCAAUCCCAGCAGCGCCCACCA